GCGGGAGUGCCGGAGUGGUCAAACGGGCAGGACUUAAGAUCCUGUGGCUUAGUGCCUACGUAGGUUCGAACCCUAUCUCCCGCA
rfam:Candidatus Pacearchaeota archaeon CG1_02_32_21 cg1_0.2_scaffold_12267_c, whole genome shotgun sequence.